GGGAACGUACCUUUUGGUUCGGAACAACACAGGGAAACUUGUGCUAAUACCGGAUAAGCCCUUACGGGGAAAGAUUUAUCGCCGAAAGAUCGGCCCGCGUCUGAUUAGCUAGUUGGUAGGGUAACGGCCUACCAAGGCGACGAUCAGUAGCUGGUCUGAGAGGAUGAUCAGCCACAUUGGGACUGAGACACGGCCCAAACUCCUACGGGAGGCAGCAGUGGGGAAUAUUGGACAAUGGGGGCAACCCUGAUCCAGCCAUGCCGCGUGAGUGAUGAAGGCCCUAGGGUUGUAAAGCUCUUUUGUGCGGGAAGAUAAUGACGGUACCGCAAGAAUAAGCCCCGGCUAACUUCGUGCCAGCAGCCGCGGUAAUACGAAGGGGGCUAGCGUUGCUCGGAAUCACUGGGCGUAAAGGGCGCGUAGGCGGCCGAUUAAGUCGGGGGUGAAAGCCUGUGGCUCAACCACAGAAUUGCCUUCGAUACUGGUUGGCUUGAGACCGGAAGAGGACAGCGGAACUGCGAGU
rnacentral:rRNA from 1 species